UGCAGAAUCUGUCCAUGUAUGGAAGUUGUCUUCUCUCCUUGUAUCUUGUGAGUUUGGGCAGAAAGAAAUGCAUCCUUGGGAUCUCCUUUGAUGUCUGGAUAGUCUCUAAGUCGUGCCUGAACAGAAGGGGAAAGAGCCGUUGGUCUUCAAUAACUCCAAGUGUGAAUGCAUCCAUGUAAGGUAAGUUGACAAAUAAGGGAUUCAUCUUGAUCAUGUGGCUGCUGGUGCAUGGUAGAAACUCUCCCACUGCUCUUAGAUGUAAUGAAUGAUCUCCUGGUUUCCACACGUGAGUUUGAGUUGCACACUCCUUAAGCAAAGAAUUACUUUCCUUAAUUAGAACCAAUUCGGAUGCAGU
rnacentral:lncRNA from 1 species